rnacentral:sRNA from 1 species
AAAAUAAAAAUAAAACAAAGAAAAUAAAAAGAAGAAAAUAUGAAUUAUGGCAGAAAUAUGAACUUUACGCGUACGUCUGUCCUAAUAAAGGGUCUGAAUAUUCGUGUGAUGAACUAGCUACUACUAUACUUUUAUAGAUUUCUCCAUGUAAUUUUAGUAAUUAAAACCUUUAUAAAGUUGCGGUUUAUUUCAUAAGCAGCAUUAUAGUGAGUACAAUGAUAAAUGUUUUUAUAUAUAUCACUUACAAGGUAGCUCCCAAGGGUCGAAUUGAUAAAUGUUUAAAUCCCCUAUAGCUUCUACUAGGCAUGAAUUUCCUAGCAACUUGUUUCUUAGGUAAAAUCCUAGGAGUUCCUCUUUCUUCUCUGGGACGAAACUCAUAGCCGACGAUCGACAUCAUUUUUUUUUUCUUCUUCUUCUUCUGAAAAUAAUGAAUAUUCUCAAGGAAGACGAAGUUCUUUUUUUUUUUGUAUGUAUGUUCGGAACAUGUGGCCCAGUUUUUUUUUUUUCUCAAUAAGUAGCAUUAUUGUAGUCUCCGUUCUAAAAAUCCCCGCCUAGUCUGAUUGUGUUUAUAAGGUCGUGAUCUCAUGUGUUUAUGUUUUCACUUUCACAUUCACGUGUUAUAUAUAUAAUUUUAGACGUAUUGUCCAAGAAAUAUAUCAGAUAUUAGCAAAACAAAAAUAAAGAAAAAAGUAAAUUUUU